rnacentral:tRNA from 1 species
GCUGGAAUAGCUCAGUUGGUAGAGCAUGAGGCUCUUAAUCUCAAGGUUGUGGGUUCAAGCCCCAUGUUGGGCG